UUUCACUACGUGCUGAGCAGCAUAAGUACAGUUUUCAAGCAGUAAAUUGUCUCAGCAUUAGAAAGAUUCUUAUUUUUCUCCUGUUCUCGAUGGAUUCUGCUGAGAAGGCAGCCAUCUUUUAAAUCAUCUUUGUGGGCAUUGAAAACGUCCUGCCCCAUUUUGUACAGUUCUCCAUGGAAACUCUUGAAAAAACAGGAGUUACUAUUUAAAUCAUCAUU